rnacentral:tRNA from 1 species
GGAGGGUUGGCUGAGUGGUCGAAAGCAUCGGUCUUGAAAACCGACGAGGGUGUGAGCCCUCCCAGGGUUCGAAUCCCUGGCCCUCCACCA